UACGUAGGGGGCGAGCGUUGUCCGGAAUUAUUGGGCGUAAAGCGCGCGCAGGCGGUCCCUUAAGUCUGGUGUAUAAGUGCGGGGCUCAACCCCGUGAGGCACUGGAAACUGGGGGACUUGAGUGCGGGAGAGGAAAGCGGAAUUCCCGGUGUAGCGGUGAAAUGCGUAGAGAUCGGGAGGAACACCAGUGGCGAAGGCGGCUUUCUGGACCGUAACUGACGCUGAGGCGCGAAAGCGUGGGGAGCAAACA
rnacentral:rRNA from 1 species